rnacentral:rRNA from 1 species
GAUGAACGCUAGCGGCAGGCUUAAUACAUGCAAGUCGUGGGCAGCAGGUUUGUAGCAAUACAGAUGCUGGCGACCGGCAAACGGGUGCGGAACACGUACAGAACCUUCCUUUGAGCGGGGAAUAGCCCAGAGAAAUUUGGAUUAAUACCCCAUAGUAUAAUGAAGUGGCAUCACUUUAUUAUUAAGAUUUAUCACUCGAAGAUGGCUGUGCGGCUGAUUAGGUAGUUGGCGGGGUAAAGGCCCACCAAGCCUGCGAUCAGUAACUGGUGUGAGAGCACGACCAGUCACACGGGCACUGAGACACGGGCCCGACUCCUACGGGAGGCAGCAGUAAGGAAUAUUGGUCAAUGGAGGCAACUCUGAACCAGCCAUGCCGCGUGGAGGAUGAAGGUCCUCUGGAUUGUAAACUUCUUUAUAUGGGACGAAAAAGGCUUUCUAAGUACGUCUGACGGUACCAUAUGAAUAAGCACCGGCUAACUCCGU